AAGAAGCUGAAGAAAGCGGAGGAGGAGGCGGAAAAGCUUGUGAAGGAAGGGUUCGAGACAGCGGAGAAGGGAGUUGAAACGGCGGAGAAAGGAAUAGAAACGGUGGAGAGAGGGAUAGAAACGGCGGAGAAAGGGAUCGAAACAGCAGAGAGAGAAAUAGAGGGGGCAGUGAACUUCGGAGGGCUAGCACAGGCAGGAGUGGUGGCGGGAGCGGAGGUUGUAGGAGUUUUAGUGGCUACAUCCAUUGUAAAUGGGAUUUUAGAGCCAGAAAGUCAAAAAUCAUGAUUUAGUUGUGAUAAUCUGAUGUAAAUUCUAGUAAAUCUAACAUCAGUGUUUCUAAAUUUGGUUUUCUUAUUCAGCAUCAUUUCCAUUUAUGAUCAAUUUUUUGGUUGCAGGCUCUCUCCCAGGAAAAAG
rnacentral:misc_RNA from 1 species